rnacentral:rRNA from 1 species
GUUUACGGCCAUACCAGCCUGGGUACGCCCGAUCUCGUCUGAUCUCGGAAGCUAAGCAGGGUUGGGGCCUGGUUAGUACUUGGUUGGGAGGCCGCCUGGGAAUACCAGGUGCUGUAAGCU